rnacentral:rRNA from 1 species
UACGAAGGGGGCUAGCGUUGCUCGGAAUCACUGGGCGUAGAGCGCACGUAGGCGGAUUGUUAAGUCAGGGGUGAAAUCCUGGAGCUCAACUCCAGAACUGCCUUUGAUACUGGCGAUCUUGAGUCCGGGAGAGGUGAGUGGAACUGCGAGUGUAGAGGUGAAAUUCGUAGAUAUUCGCAAGAACACCAGUGGCGAAGGCGGCUCACUGGACCGGAACUGACGCUGAGGCGCGAAAGCGUGGGGAGCAAACAGG